rnacentral:rRNA from 1 species
UACGGAGGGUGCAAGCGUUAUCCGGAUUCACUGGGUUUAAAGGGUGCGUAGGUGGGUAUGUAAGUCAGUGGUGAAAUCCCCGAGCUUAACUUGGGAACUGCCAUUGAUACUAUAUAUCUUGAAUGCCGUAGAGGUAAGCGGAAUAUGUCAUGUAGCGGUGAAAUGCUUAGAUAUGACAUGGAACACCAAUUGCGAAGGCAGCUUACUAUGCGGUGAUUGACACUGAGGCACGAAAGCGUGGGUAGCAAAC